UAUCGCAUGAGAAGAUGUAGAAAGUCGCUCUUUGUGGCGACGCUUUUGGGAUGAGGGGUGCGACGUAUCAGAUAGUUGGUGAGGUAAUGGCUCACCAAGUCAAUGACGCGUAGCUGUACUGAGAGGUAGAACAGCCACAAUGGGACUGAGACACGGCCCAUACUCCUACGGGAGGCAGCAGUAGGGAAUUUUUCACAAUGGGCGCAAGCCUUAUGAAGCAAUGCCGCGUGAACGAUGAAGGUCUUAUAGAUUGUAAAGUUCUUUUAUAUGGGAAGAAACGCUAAGAUAGGAAAUGAUUUUAGUUUGACUGUACCAUUUGAAUAAGUAUCGGCUAACUAUGUGCCAGCAGCCGCGGUAAU
rnacentral:rRNA from 1 species